rnacentral:tRNA from 1 species
UCCCUGGAGGACUAGUGGUUUGGCCACAGUGCUCUCACUGCUGUGGGCUGGGUCCGAUUCCUGGCCAGGGAA